rnacentral:rRNA from 1 species
GCCCCUUUCGGGGGGUACUCGAGUGGCGAACGGGUGCGUAACACGUGGGUGAUCUGCCUUGUGCUUCGGGAUAAGCCCGGGAAACUGGGUCUAAUACCGGAUGAUCACUGUCGGCCGCAUGGCCGGUGGUGGAAAGCGUUUUGUAGCGGCAUGGGAUGAGCCCGCGGCCUAUCAGCUUGUUGGUGGGGUAAUGGCCUACCAAGGCGACGACGGGUAGCCGGCCUGAGAGGGUGACCGGCCACACUGGGACUGAGACACGGCCCAGACUCCUACGGGAGGCAGCAGUGGGGAAUAUUGCACAAUGGGCGCAAGCCUGAUGCAGCGACGCCGCGUGAGGGAUGACGGCCUUCGGGUUGUAAACCUCUUUCAGUACCGACGAAGCGGAAGUGACGGUAGGUACUAAAGAAGCACCGGCCAACUACGUACCAGCAGCCGCGGUAAUACGUAGGGUGCGAGCGUUGUCCGGAAUUACUGGGCGUAAAGAGCUCGUAGGCGGUUUGUCGCGUCGUCUGUGGAAUCCUGCAGCUUAACUGUGGGCGUGCAGGCGAUACGGGCAGACUUGAGUACUGCAGGGGAGACUGGAAUUCCUGGUGUAGCGGAGAAAUGCGCAGAUAUCAGGAGGAACACCGGUGGCGAAGGCGGGUCUCUGGGCAGUAACUGACGCUGAGGAGCGAAAGCGUGGGGAGCGAACAGGAUUAGAUACCCUGGUAGUCCACGCCGUAAACGGUGGGUACUAGGUGUGGGGCCCUUCCACGGGUUCUGUGCCGUAGCU